rnacentral:rRNA from 1 species
GACGAACGCUGGCGGCGUGCUUAACACAUGCAAGUCGAGCGGUAAGGCCCUUUCGGGGGUACACGAGCGGCGAACGGGUGAGUAACACGUGGGUGACCUGCCCUCAGCUCUGGGAUAAGCCUGGGAAACCGGGUCUAAUACUGGAUAUGACUCCAUGACGCAUGUUGUGGGGUGGAAAGCCUUGUGCGGCUGAGGAUGGGCCCGCGGCCUAUCAGCUUGUUGGUGGGGUGANGGCCUACCAAGGCGACGACGGGUAGCCGGCCUGAGGGGGCGACCGGCCACACUGGGACUGAGACACGGCCCAGACUCCUACGGGAGGCAGCAGUGGGGAAUCUUGCGCAAUGGGCGAAAGCCUGACGCAGCGACGCCGCGUGAGGGAUGACGGCCUGGUGUAAC